AGGAAACCUGCAUGCCUGAGAGUUCUCCAUAAUGCUCUACAAAGUAUGUAAUUGGUCGGUAAUGGGUUGAUAUGAAUUAGAUAUUUAACACUAAUUAAAGUGUUAGUUUGUUUAUUCAUUUUCAUAAAUGGUUUUAAAUGAAUAAAAAUUUAAAAUGAGAUUAUGCUAACGCUAGGGCAAGUAAGAUGUGCGGUUUGACGAAGCGGGAGAGGGGGCGAGUGCUACGAUAACGUGAACGCGUACUGUGUAGUUGAGUACAUUUGAGUAUUACCGGCGAGCGCGGCCUUUUACAUAGUACUAAUUAAUUAACGUGCGGCAAAUAUAUUGUAAUGUUUUUAUUUGUAAACAGACUGAAUUAAGCAAUAACCUUAAAAUAAAACACUGUAGGAAGACAUACUUGUACCAAUAUUAUAUGCAGAGUAUAGUACAAUAAUUUGGGUGAUAUUUUUUAAAGCAAACUUGUAUUUUUCUUAAAACGGUUGUGCUUUGUGCUGUAGGCUUCAAACCUUGGGCACUAGUAUAUAUUUAAAUAUGAUAUUGUACCUACUUAUUUUUAUACCUAUACACCUAUUAUUCGGAUGGCCUAAGAGGUUCUUUUUUUCUAUGAUUACUUGCUUUGCAAUACAAUUUAACUUAUUUUUGAAUUUGUAACUUCCGCAGCAAUAAAUUCCGAUUUUGUAAUAUUGCUGAAUAUAUGUAACAUAUUUUGCUUAAAGAUAAAAUCCUACUGUAAGGUUGCUGCCAGUAAUUCUUUGCGAUAGAUGCUUUUAUAAACUCGGAUAUAUUCAAGAGCUAAUUGAGCAGUAAAUUAUCCGAGGAGUGCCAUUCAAUUAUACUUUUCUUUAUAGACUAAGCUAUGGCAAAAUUGACCAAUACUUUUUUUAAACAGAAUUUUAGUUUUUUUUAAAUUAUUACCAAGUAAACUAGAACAUGAUAUGAUUGCUUUUGCAGUUUUGUAAUUUCUUAUAUCGUUUUAUUACAGGCUAAGUUAACUUAAGUUAUCCCAAAGAUUUUUUACAUCUUAAAUAGUCAAGCUACCUAAAUUGUUUAAAAUCGGAUGUAUCACCCGAUAACUUUAGUAUAAAUGCGUGAAAAGCGCAACCUUAAGUACUGUGGCUAAGGUCAUUUGCUUUACGUUUGCGCCUUACGUUGGUUAUUACUUGCGCUGAAAUCAAUUAUGCUGUUAUUUUGAUUCUAGUCAUGAAAAUCAACAAUGGACUUUAUUAUUUAAGUUUUAUUAUUAAUACCUAUACGCCUAUUAAUAUAUCGUUUCUAUUGUGAUUGAUCUUAAAAUCAGAAGUCAUUGUUCGUCAAAAUGUAUAUUUUGCUAUGUAAUAAGAAUGACUUUAUUUACACUAGUUGCAUAUUACAUAAAUUAUUAUUAAUAAUGACUGACAUGGCACUUGAAAAGUCUAGAUGCAUAUUGCCGCGGACCGCAUCGCAAAGUAUUUCUAUUGAAUUACUAUAAUUAAUUGCCUUCAAGCAUGUGAUAAAAUAUGCAAGGAAAAUGUAAGCUACUGUAGGAUAAUAGUCAAAUAAGGUCUCGAUUCUUAUCAAUGAUUCGGACUCGUUUGAAUUGAAAAAUAUGAAACAUAACAAAUAAAAGUUUUACGAGGAGUCCAAAUUUACGCCACUAAUUAUAUUUCGUGCAAUCAUUUAAAGAGUAUUGAUUUGAUUUCGGAUGGACACUUGCCGAUAACCGAAGGUUUGCUUCGGCGUCACCGGGGGACUGGGACGAGUGCGAAAGCUCGCCAUGUGAAGAGCCCCAGGGCUCGACGACAUCGAGGGGGAAGUGGGAGAUGUCGAACCGAGGGUGCCUCCUCCGAGGAAGCUUACCUUGGCUCGGUUCGACGUUAAUCUGAGUGCUCGUGAACUUUUGGACUAAUUAUUGUUAAGUCCGAGUCCGCCUCCGUGACCGUGGUAAGGGUCCACGUCCGCCUCCGUGACCGUGGUAAGGGUCCACGUCCGGAUGACGGGACCCAAGAGCAUUGAUUAUUAUGCUAACUAUAUAUAGUGCGCACUGCGGUGAACUCUUCGUACGUGCAUAAAAGCACUGCCUAGGCUUACCAAGAAUUGUUAAAAUUUAAAUUUCGGAAAAUUUACAAAUCAUUUGAGAUAUACCUAAAAAGCAUUGAGUAUCAGUGCUCACUGUGGCCUGCUGUUUGCAAAUGCCUUCCCUCAAAUUUUACGACCCGUAUCGGUGAGGGUUUUAUGUUCCGAAUUAUAUCAUCUGCCUCCUUAAAGAUUACUGCCUAUCCUGUUCGAAAUCCCUGUGCAAGCCACAGUAUCUUAUGUGGAUUUUGAACCUAUCAUCGGGCAUAAGUUCUGCCUCUGAACCAUUGAGUCACUGCCCAUUGAAUUUUUUUUAAUUAGUGUCACACCGACCGACAGACAAUAAAGUUAUCCUAGAAAGAUUACGACUCGGUCGGUUUAGGCCGUGAUUUCUAAAAACGAUUGUAAUAUGAUAAAGUGUAGGUAGGUAGUUAUCGAAUUGCGAUGCGGUCAGCUUUUAAAUACGCGCAGUUAUUAUGGAACUCUAAAGCCGAAAAAAUUUUGCAAAACGCCGCUCCUCGCAUUCGCAUGAGUGCAAGUGGCAUGGAUGAAGGGUGGCGUGGUGCAUAAGUGGCCGUGCAAUUAGAGAUUCCGCAUGUUGGUGUGAUCAUACAACGAAAUGGAGUCUUUACGACUUUAUUGUUAUUCAAUUGUACGCUGGUCAUUAAAGAACCGUGUUGUAAUGUCUUUGAUGAGCAUUUUAAACAACCGUGUUGUAAUGUCUUUUUUGAGCAUCGUUGCGCCCACUGGUUUAAUUAUUUAUUAUGAAUUUCUGCAGCAAAAAAAAGGGAGUGCAACACAUUGCAGGCGCAACGAUGUUUUCUAUCUGAUUUUUUGUACCUUUGCUUAUGCUAUAGAACAGAAUGGGGUAUUACAAAAUAGUUACUUUUUUUCUAUUUUAAAAUAAAUUACAAUUAUAACGAACAGUCGAAACGAAAUUAAAAUCUAACUUGGCAGUAUGCCAUUUUUUGCAUGUGGAUUCUGCGGGUCUAGAUCUGUUUACAAGAGCUGGUACAACUUUGAAAAAGCGCAAUGACGUUGCUCUGCAACAUGAAAAGUUGCCUGUCUCUUUCGCACGCAUAUAAGCGUGACAGAGAAAGCUAUUGUUUUGUUUUUACACUAUAGAGUAUAGACAAAUACUGUAUAAUAAAAUUGGGCUUGUGUAAGUACAGUGAACGUGCCAGCUCUUGUGAACCAGCCUUUUAUAGAGCAGGAUCUAAGAUAUGUUUUAAGAUUAUAGGUCAACAUAGUGCGCCGUGGAAGUUUGUUCUCGCCGUGGAUUAUUUAAGUAUUGUAUAUUAUUAUUGUCUUGUGAUAAUAUCCUGUAAUACCCUGUUUGUCAUAAAUAAAAAAAAUAAUUUAAUAUAUACAUAAUUUGUAAAGGACUGCCAAAAUUAUUAAGAGCACGUAGGACUCAUGCGAUUUUUCAGUAAUUUAAAUGGUACAGGUAGCUACACGGCUGAUGAUGACGUUUGCGUGGCGAAACAGUUCGAAGCUCAUAAUGAGUACCUAUGUAUACACACUAUUGGUACCUAUUCUUAUCAGUACGCGUGUCUGAUGAGUUCUGAUGAAGUCUACGCGUAGACAAAGCAUCAGGACUUGAUGCGUGCCUGAUGGGUUCGUUACGUACAUUAACGUACGAGUCUGAUGAGUUGACGCGUACUGCGAACAGUCCCCCUAUUCUGUGUGUAUUGACAGUACUUCAAACAUUCUACUGAAUAAAAGUAAUAUAUAAUUCUAAAAGUUAAAUAUAACUUUAAUAUUUAUAUAAAACUCCUAAUAUAUUUCGAUAAUUGUGUUAGUUGAAUGUUCGAUUUAUUUUAAUUCAAAACCGAUUUCCUAUAGCCUGUCGUUCUUCGUUAUGCGCGGCAUUCACUGAGGGGGCGGUACCUACCCAUCAAUGACGUACGACAUUAUCUGUAUUAUAUUUAACCGAAAAAAAAAUCAAACUUUAUGGGCGUGCACCUGUCAAAAUUAUCAUCCUAAAUAAGACAAAGCUUAAUAUAAUAAUGUUAUUAAAAAAAAAAGAUUGUUGACGUGCCAUGUCCAAAAUCUCCGAUAAGUUUAUACAAUAUAUAAAAAUAAUUAUGUAUGCGUUUUUUAUCUGAUGAGUUCGAUGCGUAGGUACUGACCAGCUUCAAACUUUUUGAACACGUGGAUGUCGUCAUCAGCCAUGCGGAUCGUGCUGGUGUCAUGGGCAUUUUCAAUGAUAAAAAUGUGUUGCUUGCGGUGAUCGCGCUACGUAUGUACUGUAAUAUGCGAUCAACAUUAAUUAAAUAAAAUGUAUCCUAUUGUUUUCAUCUACUUUUAGAAAUAAUGCAGAUAACGCAAUAUUGGUAGUUACAAAACAAAAAAAGUAUAUGCAUUCUCGCAAAAUGCUUGUAUUAAUAUUUUAUUAUGAUAAAAUACAAUGCAGAACUAAAGACGAUGUCAAAGCGAGAUUUUUAUUGUCUGAACGUGCCAAAAGAAACUUCCAUACAGUGAAAGUGAAAAAAAAAUAUUCCUUCAUAAGUUCCAAAUGGUUUCAACUAAAUUCAAAUAAUAUGAGGUUUCUUUAUGUUACGUUAUGUUUAGGAUUUCCAAUACGACGGAAGUCGUCUGGUAAGCAGUUCGGGACUGAUUUUUCUGAAGAUUUUAGAGCCAUAACCGUAAUUGCCCUAGGAAUUAAUUAUGUGACAUCUUAAAACUUUCUGAAAUGGUUGAAAUUUUAACUGAAGAAUCAUUAAGGGUGUAUUCAAAUUAGCUACCAGCUAGGCUGACCAAUUUCAUAGUAUCUAAACCAGAGUUUUUUGCAGGAACAUUAUACCAUUAGCUUAUUGAAAAUAGUGAAGCUUUCGUUAAAAACCCGCUUGAGUCAAUUUCUGCAUUAAUGCGUUAUGAGUAUUAGACGUUAUUUUUGACGUCAUAGACGCGCAUUUGGUCCAUCUCGUGCGUUUUGUUGAAUGCACCCUUAAACUGUGAUAUCUAAUGAAAAUGAAAUCUCGCAUCGACAUCUAUCUAGGUUCAACAUUUUAAGCUGCAUUAUAAAUAGAAUAAAUCAUUAAAAUAAAAGUAGCAGUCGCUAGUAUUAAUUAAUGCACUUUAUUUAAUAUCGUUCACUUACAUAUCCAAUUAGAAUUGUCCAUAGUUUAACAUUUUAUCUAGUCGAUUGUAAUCUUAUCGUACGCAACUCAUAGUGAGGUUAGUUUAAUAUUAUAGGAAAGUUAUUUGUAUAGAAAUGUUUAAUCACGCGGUUAGGUGAUUAAUAUAGGGUUUAAACGAGCGUUACUAGAGCGUGCUAAUAACGCUUGCCUGUCAAACGUGUCAAUAUUUGAAAUUGGCUUACACACAAAAACUAGCCAUACGAUAUGAUAAUUUGGCAUUAUUUAAUUUAACGCUAUCAUCGCUUUUAGUCCAAAAAAAUUACCAUCUAGUGAUCGAAGAACAAGUCCAAACUGAAAACGAGGCGUAUGACUGUAGGUACAAUAAUGGACGUAGUAAAAGAGGAUCCAAACUACGACGACCUCCCUGGAGUUGUGAGUGUUGUGAUGUUAUAAGUGGGAGGUCCCGGUUUCGAUCCCCGGCAGGGACAAUUUGGGAAUUUAUAAAUUCUGAAUUUUCUCUGGUCUGGCCUGGUGGGAGACACCUAGCCGUGGCUAGUUACCACCUUACCGACAGAGACGUGCCACCGAGUGUAAUUAACCCGCGUUCCCGUACCAUGUCGCGGAGAAACCGAUAAGGGGUGUGUAGUAUUAUAAAUGCCUAACUUAACAGGUUAGCCCGCUACCAUCUUAGACUUAUCACUUGCCACCAGGUAAGAUGGCAGUCGAGGGCUAACUUGUAGUGAGAUAAAAAACUUGUAGUGGGUUUAAGGACAUUUAGAGCCUUGUUAAUAAAUUUGUCAUAACGUUGCACUAGUUAAGCAAUGUUUUGUCAGACGUUAACUGACGGCAGCUUUCAAUGUCAGAAAAAAUAUUGAAGAUUAUUAACUAUGUAUGUGGGUUAGAUUAACUACGUUCAUUAUUAUACAAAAACUGAUCUCAGUGGUGUCGCACUCGUCGUCUGUACCUUCUUCAAAUUGGAUCACUUAUUUCGCUGGAAGCAUACUUUGGAUUUAUCACGAACAACCAGUAUAUUAUAUUAUCGUUUAUACCAAACCGUUAUGUUUGUAAUGGGUUCCUGAGACAGACAAUUGAGAUUGGGAAUAUUUACGUGAUUGGUGGUGAAAUAAUCGUGGCGUAACACUCAGCAGGAUCCCGUAUUGUUGGAAACGUCGGUAGGUAAUAAUAUAAGUUCAAAAGUUUUAUCAAAAUUCACUUAAAAAUGAAUUUACUUACUUGCGUGGAAAAUAAUAAAUGAAAUGCUUUCAAAGUUGAACUCCAGCCAGUGGAUUUUUAUUUACAUACUUUACUUACUUUAGUUAAGUCUUUCGUCAAAAAAGAGAAAAUAACUAUUGAACUAACAAAAAUCGAUGUCGUACACAUUUACAUGGAAUCCGUAUUGACACUAGAUGGCGUUCUUUCGAUAAGCCACCCAUCCGGUUUCGGUAACGGAGCUCUAUAAUAUCCGUGAUCAUUAAUUAUCAAUUUCAAAUGACUGUCUGGGUGACUCUUACAAGUCAUUGUUUUUGA